rnacentral:rRNA from 1 species
AAAUGACAAUUUUCUAUCUAUAUGUCUUGACCAAAUCUUGUGCCAGCAGUCGCGGUAAUACAAGGGAGACUAGUGUUAUUCAUCUUAAUUAGGUUUAAAGGGUACCUAGACGGUAUAUUAAGCCCCCAAAGGGAACGGAUAUACUAGAGUUUUAUGUGAGAGGUAAAUAUAGUACUAUUGGUGUAGAGAUAAAAUUCAUUGAUACCUCUAGGCACGGGUAACGGCGAAGGCAAUCCUCUAUGUAAAAACUGACGUUGAGGGACGAAGGCAUGGGGAGCGAAUAGGAUUAGAUACCCUAGUAGUCCAAGCAGACAAUUAUGAAUGUCAUAGAUUAGAGAAUUUUUGAUCUAUAAAUGAAAGUGUAAGCAUUCCACCUCAAGAGUAAGCGGCAACGUUGGAACUGAAAUCAUUAGACCGUUUCUGAAACCAGUAGUGAAGUAUGUUAUUUAAUUCGAUGAUCCUCGAAAAUCUUACCACAAUUUGAAUGUUAAUUAAUAAAUUAACACAGGCGUUGCAUGGCUGUCUUCAGU